UACGGAGGAUGCAAGCGUUAUCCGGAAUCAUUGGGCGUAAAGCGUCCGUAGGUGGCUGUUCAAGUCUGCGGUCAAAGCACAAGGCUUAACCUUGUAAAGGCCGUGGAAACUGAAGAGGCUAGAGUGCGGUAGGGGUAGAGGGAAUUCCCAGUGUAGCGGUGAAAUGCGUAGAGAUCGGGUGGAACACCAGCGGCGAAGGCGGCAUCCUGGCCCUGUACUGACGCUGAGGCGCGAUAGCGUGGGGAGCAAACGGG
rnacentral:rRNA from 1 species